GCUCAGCCCUUAACAUAGACAGUACACACACAAUACUGUUCGCCAGAGAACUACUAGUGAAAAACUAGAAACUCCAAGGACUUGGCGGUGCCCCAUACCGACCUAGAGGAGCCUGUCCUAUAAUCGAUAAUCCACGUUUUACCUUACCACCCUUUGCAAGUCAGCCUAUAUACCGCCGUCGUCAGCUUACCUUGUGAAAGAGACAGAGUAAGCAAAACAGUCAAUAACUAAAACGUCAGGUCAAUGUGUAGCAUAUAGGGUGGAAGAGAUGGGCUACACUUUCUGUCAUAGAACACACGAAUAGUACAAUGAAACACGUACUUAAAGGUGGAUUUAGUAGUAAGACAAACAAGAAAUUUUGUCUGAAACCCGCUCUGGGACGCGCACACACCGCCCGUCACCC
rnacentral:rRNA from 1 species